rnacentral:rRNA from 1 species
UGCCAGCCGCCGCGGUAAUACGGAGGGGGCUAGCGUUGUCCGGAUUUACUGGGUGUAAAGGGAGCGUAGGCGGUUUUGCAAGUCAGAAGUGAAAGGCUACGGCUCAACCGUAGUAAGCUUUUGAAACUGCAAGACUAGAGUGCAGGAGAGGCAAGUGGAAUUCCUAGUGUAGAGGUGAAAUUCGUAGAUAUUAGGAGGAACACCAGUGGCGAAGGCGGCUUUCUGGACCGAUACUGACGCUGAGACGCGAAAGCGUGGGGAGCAAACAGGAUUAGAUA